AUUCUUGUUGGACUGAGAUGAUUUGAAGGGUGGGAUAGGYUAAGUGCCCCCCACCUGGCAUGAAUUUCUGAUCUCAUGGGAUAGGUUGAAGUGAGGCUAGAAUUAUCCGGAAAUGUGAGGGCUGUAAUGCUCCUUCUAUCUUCCCCAUGGUAGAAGAAAAAACAGAAGUAGAGUUUGGAGCAUAUUCUUGUGUUCUCAGUACUCUGUAGAGGUUAACAGCAAAAACAAAGGGAAGGAGAGUUCUAGUGUAGCUAGCUGAGCACCUUACCAAGCAGGGUGGCACUUUGGCAGGUGGCAAAGCUAUGAUGAAGGAGGUAGAAGAGCUCACUAGCACUGCCUUUGGAUAGUCUGGGUGAUGCGAAGAAGCAAGAGACUUUUUAAAAGGAGAAAAAAAAGAAGUUUGGUCACAACCUCAUGAUGUGAAGGACUGUGAAUGAUUUUUAMAUGAUCUGGUUACUUUUUUUUCUUUUUUUCUUUCUUUUUCUUUCAAAUAGCAGGUUGCUGCUUUGAAAUUCUGAGCCCAUCCURCUCCCGCUGGUGUCACAGGAAACAGAGGGUUGGUUCAGCGCUUGGCAGUUGGGCGCUGAAGUCCUGAGUCCCUAACUGUGAAGCUCUGUACCCUCUCUGUUCCUACUGAUAUUGCCUGUCAGUACUGGGUCUGCAGUGAUACCAGCACCCUUCUGUUACUACGUUGUUUGGAUAUGAGAUGACUUAGCAUGGAAUGCAGCAGUUCUGAGAUGAUACAUUCCAGCAGGAGGAAUUUACCCUCGUUGCAUUUUAAGGUAAGAGCAGAAUCUUUUUACAAAGGCUUGUAGAAGG
rnacentral:lncRNA from 1 species